UACGUAGGAGGCAAGCGUUGUCCGGAAUCAUUGGGCGUAAAGAGCGUGUAGGCGGCCAGAAAAGUCCGCUGUGAAAACUCGAGGCUCAACUUCGAGCUGUCGGUGGAAACUUUCUGGCUAGAGUCCGGAAGAGGAGAAUGGAAUUCCUGGUGUAGCGGUGAAAUGCGCAGAUAUCAGGAAGAACACCCGUGGCGAAGGCGGUUCUCUGGGACGGUACUGACGCUGAGACGCGAAAGCGUGAGGAGCGAACAGG
rnacentral:rRNA from 1 species